ensembl:lncRNA
CAGCACACACAGAGGAAAGGCCAUGUGAGGACAUGGCAAGAAGGCAAUCCUCUACAAGCCAGGAGGAGAGCCCUCGCCAGAAACCAACCCUGACAGCACCUUCAUCUUGGACAUCCAGCCUCCAGAUCUACAUCAGUCAAGUUAUCACUCAACAUUUAUUACGUGAGAACUGUACACUCGACUCUAAACAAAACAUAAAGAUGCGGACGGAGCUGAAAUUGAAGAAGAAGCUAGCGGAGCCGAUGGCCCUUUGGCAGAAGCAGUUCUGAUGGGCUGGGAUCGUGGCACACUUACUGCAUGGACUCCUGACAGAUGGAUUUGGACAGCCCCGGGAGGCUGCAGUUGGCAAGCAGGAGCAAGGAGAGUACGUGGGAAGAGAAUUUAAGGCCACAGCCCGCGUUCCUGUAAGAAAACUGGAAUCAGGGUCAAAUACAAGGUGGCAGCUGGUGGCAACUGCUGAAAUGAUGACUCGUUUCUCUUUCCACACAGCAUUUUCUGAUUUAGUCUGUACAUUCAUAAAUGCUAGAGACUACCUUGGAAAUCAUGAGAGAAAAAAGCUCUUCUUUUCCGUGAGACUUUGGAAUUUUCUAGCAGAAUGAAGUCCUGCCUUGUCUUGAGGCUCUACUCUAGUUGGAGAUUUCUUCUUCCAGGAACGAUAGAAAGUACAGUGGCUGGAGAAUAAGGCAAGAUUUGAAUAUAGGAGGCUAUUCAAAAUCUGGGUCCCCAUCCAGCUAAUAACAGGCUGCUAAUCCUGUCUGCAGAAGCCCACGCUGCCUGCCACAGCCCAGGCCCUCCUCACCUCCCACCUGAGUCGCUGCGGUGACCUCCUCCUGGGAGCAUCUCCAGCCUCCUGCCCUGAGUCCAUGCAAAUGCAGCAGAUGGAGUCUCUGAACAGGAAGAGUUUUCAUUCCGGCAGUUUUGCUCAACCACUCAGAUGUGAAGGAUAAGAAAAAUAGAGUGAAUAUUUGAAACCUCUGAAGAUUCAACUUUACCAUUCAAAUUCCCAGGGAACUUGUCUUGAAAUAAGUGGGAAUUGUGCCUGAGGAGCCAUACAGACCGAGGACCAUAACUCAGAACCUAACAAGGAUUGACCAGGGCCAGGAGGACAGGAAACAAGGCAAAGAAAUGCACUGGAAAUUUCAAUCAUAUUGAGACUGGCUGCUCAAUACAGG